GACGAACGCUGGCGGCGUGCUUAACACAUGCAAGUCGAACGAAGUGGCGAACGGGUGAGUAACGCGUAAUCAACCUGCCCUUCAGAGGGGGACAACAGUUGGAAACGACUGCUAAUACCGCAUACUGAAGGAGGGGAUUGCGUCUGAUUGGCUAGUUGGGAGGGUAACGGCCCACCAAGGCGAUGAUCAGUUACCGGACGUAGGGGAGGAACCGCCAAUACGGGGAUUGGAAACGGCCCCAACUCCUAAGGGAGGCAGCAGUGGGGAAACUGCCGGAAUGGAAGAAAGGCCGACGGAGGCACGGCGCCGGAGUGAUGACGGCCUUCGGGUUUGAAAGCUCUUGUAAGCGGGACGCGGUACCGGAACAGAAAGCCACGGCUAACUACGUGCCAGCAGCCGCGGUAAUAC
rnacentral:rRNA from 1 species